rnacentral:lncRNA from 1 species
CCAAUUCUUUAAUAAAGGCGCCAACAUCAAAAUUUCAUUUCUAACUCAAGUUUCCCACCAAAAUUUGACAACCAACCUUAUAAAACUGGCUGUUCAUACCAGUUUCAAAACAUACACACAAUUUCUGUGUUAGAAACUCCACAGCCAAAAAAAGANAAGAAAAGAUGGGAAGAAGGAAGGAUUUAUCAAGCCAAGAAAGGCAAGCCAUGGCCUUCUUUCUUCUUCAAAACUUUACAGAUGGGAAGCUCCGACAUGGGACUAUCACUGCUGCCAUGGCGAAGUGGGGGUGUUGUCGAAGCUCCGUCGCGCGUUUAUGGCAGGCUGCAAAAAAGGAGCACGCACAAGGUCAGUUAGUCUCCGUUCAAAGCAAAAAAAUCAACAAAUGUAGAAGAAAAAGAGUGCAAAUAGAUUUAGAACUCAUAGCUAGUCUAGAGUUGCACAAAAGGGGAACCAUUCGAAGACUUGCAACAGGUAUAAAUUGCUCGAAAAGUACAGUGGGUAGAUGGAUCUCUAAGGGGCUGAUCAGAGCUCAUUCAAGUGCUAUCCGACCCGAUUUGACGGCCCCCAACAAGUUAUUGAGGCUACGGUUCUCUCUUGAACAGAUUGUGUAUGAUAGGAUAUGCAAUGUCCUAAAGUUCAAGAAUAUGCACAAUGUAGUGCAUAUUGAUGAGAAGUGGUUCUACAUCACCAAAGCAAACCACAAAUUUUACUUAACUCCAGAGGAAACUGAUCCACAUCGCACAUGCAAGAGUAAGAAGUUUAUAAAAAAAGUUAUGUUCAGUUGUGCAGUGGCCAGGCCUCUAUUCAAUGAAGAUGGGAGUGUGUUAUUUGAUGGCUAAGAUAGGGAUUUUCCCUUUCACUGAGAUGGUACCAGCCAAAAGAACAAGCAAGACAGGCUGGCUGGAACAAUGGAGGAGAAGCCAAUCCAGUCCAUCACUAAAGGAGUGAUGAAGGACUGCUAUAUCUCCAAGGCAAGAUAUCUUAAUUGAAGUUUAUUCCAAUUUGUAGUGUAUUGCAUUCAAAUGUAUGCAAAUGAGCAUUAAUUUCAGUUUGUUAUGCAAGAUUUAUUAAUUUCAGUUUAUCAUGCCUUUUUAAAUACAGUUAAUUCCAGCAAUUAUGGCCAAAUGGCCCCAAUUUGCAAGCAAAACUAUAUAUAUACAGCAAGACAAUGCGAGGCCACAUAUAUUGGACAAUGAUCCAGAUUGGAGAGCUGCGGCAACAGCCAAUGGCUUUGAUAUCCAUAUUGUACAACAACCUCCAAAUAGCCCAGACACCAACAUCAAUGACUUGGGUUGGUUUAGGGCUAUUCAAAGCUUGCAAGUACAGUCAGUUGCCACAAAUGAGCAUGAGCUAGUAAAAGCAGUUGAAAAAUCAUUUGAGGAGCUAAGUCCUCAUACUUUAAACUCUGUUUUCUUGAGCUUACAGGGAUGUUUAACUGAAAUUAUGAAAAUAAGAGGGCAGAAUUGUUACAAGCUUCCACACAUGAAGAAAGGAGUUCUUGCAAGACAAGGUGCACUUCCAAUGGCUUUAGAAGUGCCAAAAGAGCUUGUGGAAGAGUGCAUUGGCUAUUUGUUUGAAAAAGGAGUGGUGGAAGGCAUAGACCAACUGAAAAUGCAGUUGGGAUUAGACCCCUCUCCAUUUGAAGCAAUGGAGGCAGCCUUCAAUCAUUUGAAUAUGAUUGAGGAUGCCUCCAUUUAGUUAAAAAUAUGGUAGGUAUUUUUGUCAAAGCUUGAGAGCCUAAUUUUUUGUAAAGCUCAAAGCAUAGUUUUUGUUAAAGCUCAUAGUAUAGGCUUUUGUAAAGACAGGGGGCAGUCUUUGUAAAGCUCAGGGCAUAGUUUUGUAAAGCUCAAAGCAUAGUAAGGACAUUUUAUUAGAAAGAUCAGUUUUUAUUAGAAAGAUCAGGACAAACAAGAGGGACACACCCCUCAUACCAAACACAAUUAGUCACAAGAAAGAACCAGGGCACACACCAUAUUCAAUCAAACACAAUUAGUCACAAUAAAGAACCAUGGCAGUAACCAAUCAACAAAAUGUAGGGGACACAGCCCACAAUCUCAUUUUUUGACAUUUAAUCAUAGAUUUUUAGCAUUAUAGGGAAAAUCAAACAAAUGAGCAUCAAGUUCAUCAUCUCAGCAUUCAGUCCAUCUACCACAACAGCACAGAGGGUCACACCCCUCAUACCAACAGGACAUAGAAGAACACAGAGGAAUAAAAGCACAGAGGGCUACACCCCUCAUACCAACAAGACACAGUCAGUCACAAAUAUCGGGACAAUAAGAAAGAUCUCACCCUUUUAAAGCGGGAUACAUGGUCUCCACCAUC